rnacentral:rRNA from 1 species
CGGGUGAGUAACGCGUGGGGAACCUGCCCUGUACAGGGGGAUAACACUUAGAAAUAGGUGCUAAUACCGCAUAAGCGCACAGUAUCGCAUGAUACAGUGUGAAAAACUCCGGUGGUACAGGAUGGGCCCGCGUCUGAUUAGCCAGUUGGCAGGGUAACGGCCUACCAAAGCGACGAUCAGUAGCCGGCCUGAGAGGGCGGACGGCCACACUGGGACUGAGACACGGCCCAGACUCCUACGGAAGGCAGCAG